UCAGUACCCUUGGGGACUAAAGUCUUUGAUUUAUGCAAAGAACAGGUACAACACAGGCAGUGAGAGCACAAGCUUUCUCACACUGCCCCACUAGUUACUUCAACCCUGAACUGGGCCACUGGUUGACAGAGUAGUUCAGUUUUCCUGCCCAUUCUGUUGUUGGCCUCU
rnacentral:sRNA from 1 species